rnacentral:rRNA from 1 species
AUUGAACGCUGGCGGCAUGCCUUACACAUGCAAGUCGAACGGUAACAGGUCUUCGGACGCUGACGAGUGGCGAACGGGUGAGUAAUACAUCGGAACGUGCCCAGUCGUGGGGGAUAACUACUCGAAAGAGUAGCUAAUACCGCAUACGAUCUGAGGAUGAAGGCGGGGGACCUUCGGGCCUCGCGCGAUUGGAGCGGCCGAUGGCAGAUUAGGUAGUUGGUGGGAUAAAAGCUUACCAAGCCGACGAUCUGUAGCUGGUCUGAGAGGACGACCAGCCACACUGGGACUGAGACACGGCCCAGACUCCUACGGGAGGCAGCAGUGGGGAAUUUUGGACAAUGGGCGAAAGCCUGAUCCAGCAAUGCCGCGUGCAGGAUGAAGGCCUUCGGGUUGUAAACUGCUUUUGUACGGAACGAAAAAGCUCCUUCUAAUACAGGGGGCCCAUGACGGUACCGUAAGAAUGAGCACCGGCUAACUACGUGCCAGCCGCCGCAGUAA